rnacentral:rRNA from 1 species
CGCUGGCGGCGUGCUUAACACAUGCAAGUUGAGCGAACAAAGCUCCUUCGGGAGUGGAGUUAGCGGCGGACGGGUGAGUAACACGUGGGUAACCUGCCUUAUAGAGGGGGAUAGCCUUCCGAAAGGAAGAUUAAUACCGCAUAAGAAGUAGAAGUCGCAUGGCUUUAGCUUUAAAGGAGCAAUCCGCUAUAAGAUGGACCCGCGGCGCAUUAGCUAGUUGGUGAGGUAACGGCUCACCAAGGCGACGAUGCGUAGCCGACCUGAGAGGGUGAUCGGCCACAUUGGAACUGAGACACGGUCCAGACUCCUACGGGAGGCAGCAGUGGGGAAUAUUGCACAAUGGGCGAAAGCCUGAUGCAGCAACGCCGCGUGGGUGAUGAAGGUUUUCGGAUCGUAAAGCCCUGUCUUUUGGGACGAUAAUGACGGUACCAAAGGAGGAAGCCACGGCUAACUACGUG